AGAGUUUGAUCAUGGCUCAGAACGAACGCUGGCGGCGUGCUUAACACAUGCAAGUCGAGUGCGCGUGCCGUAGCAAUACGGCAUGGCGCACGGCGCACGGGUGCGUAACACGUGGGCAAUCUGCCCUCCGAUGGGGAAUAACCCCGCGAAAGCGGGGCUAAUACCGCAUAACAUUUCUUGGACUCCGGUCCGGGGAUUCAAAACCGCAAGGUGUCGGAGGAGGAGCCCGCGCCCGAUUAGCUAGUUGGUAGGGUAACGGCCUACCAAGGCUUUGAUCGGUAGCUGGUCUGAGAGGAUGGCCAGCCACACUGGAACUGAGACACGGUCCAGACUCCUACGGGAGGCAGCAGUGGGGAAUCUUGCGCAAUGGGCGAAAGCCUGACGCAGCGACGCCGCGUGGGGGAUGAAGCUUCUCGGAGUGUAAACCCCUUUCGACUGGGACGAAUGCCCGCAAGGGAGUGACGGUACCAGUAGAAGAAGCCCCGGCUAACUACGUGCCAGCAGCCGCGGUAAGACGUAGGGGGCCAGCGUUGUUCGGAAUUACUGGGCGUAAAGGGUUCGUAGGCGGUGUGGCAAGUCGGGAGUGAAAUCUAUGGGCUUAACUCAUAGGCUGCUUCCGAAACUGCUGUGCUUGAGUGUGGGAGAGGCGCGUGGAAUUGCAGGUGUAGCGGUGAAAUGCGUAGAUAUCUGCAGGAACACCCGUGGCGAAAGCGGCGCGCUGGACCACUACUGACGCUGAGGAACGAAAGCUAGGGGAGCAAACAGGAUUAGAUACCCUGGUAGUCCUAGCCCUAAACGAUUAGGACUUGGGGUGCCGCACGUUCGUGCGUCGUCCCGGAGCUAACGCGUUAAGUCCUGCGCCUGGGGAGUACGGUCGCAAGACUGAAACUCAAAGGAAUUGACGGGGCCCGCACAAGCGGUGGAACAUGUGGUUCAAUUCGACGCUACGCGAGG
rnacentral:rRNA from 1 species